rnacentral:rRNA from 1 species
AUUGAACGCUGGCGGCAUGCCUUACACAUGCAAGUCGAACGGCAGCGGACCUUCGGGUGCCGGCGAGUGGCGAACGGGUGAGUAAUAUAUCGGAACGUACCUUUCAGUGGGGGAUAACGUAGCGAAAGUUACGCUAAUACCGCAUAUUCUGUGAGCAGGAAAGCAGGGGAUCGCAAGACCUUGCGCUGAUUGAGCGGCCGAUAUCAGAUUAGCUAGUUGUGGUAAGGGCCUACCAAGGCGACGAUCCGUAGCGGGUCUGAGAGGAUGAUCCGCCACACUGGGACUGAGACACGGCCCAGACUCCUACGGGAGGCAGCAGUGGGGAAUUUUGGACAAUGGGCGGAAGCCUGAUCCAGCCAUGCCGCGUGAGUGAAGAAGGCCUCGGUUGUAAGA